rnacentral:tRNA from 1 species
CGCCGGGUCGAGCAGGCCGGCUUCAUGGUGCUGAAGUCGCCGGACAUUCCGUCGAUCCUGGUGGAAACCGGGUUCAUCUCCAACCCGGCGG